UAGGGAAUCUUCGGCAAUGGACGAAAGUCUGACCGAGCAACGCCGCGUGAGUGAAGAAGGUUUUCGGAUCGUAAAACUCUGUUUUUAGAGAAGAACAAGGACGUUAGUAACUGAACGUCCCCUGACGGUAUCUAACCAGAAAGCCACGGCUAACUACGUGCCAGCAGCCGCGGUAAUACGUAGGUGGCAAGCGUUGUCCGGAUUUAUUGGGCGUAAAGCGAGCGCAGGCGGUUUCUUAAGUCUGAUGUGAAAGCCCCCGGCUCAACCGGGGAGGGUCAUUGGAACCUGGGAGACUGGAGUGCAGAAGAGGAGAGUGUAAUUCCAUGUGUAGCGGUGAAAUGCGUAGAUAUAUGGAGGCACACCAGUGGCGAAGGCGGCUCUCUGGUUUGUAACUGACGCUGAGGCUCGAAAGCGUGGGGAGCAAACAGG
rnacentral:rRNA from 1 species